GUUAUUAUAGCUUAAACCUAAAGCAUAGCACUGAAAAUGCUAAAAUGGUUAUACAACCCUAAUAACA
rnacentral:tRNA from 1 species